rnacentral:rRNA from 1 species
CGGACGGGUGAGUAAUGUCUGGGAAACUGCCCGAUGGAGGGGGAUAACUACUGGAAACGGUAGCUAAUACCGCAUAAUGUCUGCGGACCAAAGAGGGGGACCUUCGGGCCUCUUGCCAUCGGAUGUGCCCAGAUGGGAUUAGCUAGUAGGUGGGGUAACGGCUCACCUAGGCGACGAUCCCUAGCUGGUCUGAGAGGAUGACCAGCCACACUGGAACUGAGACACGGUCCAG